rnacentral:rRNA from 1 species
GACGAACGCUGGCGGCGUGCUUAACACAUGCAAGUAGAACGGAGUGGCGAACGGGUGAGUAACACGUGGGUGAACUGCCCGGCACUGCGGGAAAAGGCGGGGAAACUGGGUCUAAUACCGGAUAGUGUGGGAUGGGCCCGCGGCCUAUCCGCUUGUUGGGGGGGUAAUGGCCUACCACGGCGGCGACGGGUAGCCGGCCUGGGAGGGUGGACGGCCCCAUUGGGCCUUAGACAGGGCGCAGACUCCUACGUGAGGCAGCGGUGGUAAGUCUUGCACAAUGGGCGGAAGCCUGAUGCAGCGACGUCGCGUGGGGGAUGACGGCCUUCGGGUUGUAAACUCCUUUCUCCAUCGACGCGGUAGAUGGAGAAGAAGCACCGGCUAACUACGUGCCAGCAGCCGCGGUAAUUC